UACGGAGGGUGCAAGCGUUAUCCGGAUUUACUGGGUUUAAAGGGUGUGUAGGCGGGCCUUUAAGUCAGUGGUGAAAUCUCCGGGCUCAACCUGGAAACUGCCAUUGAUACUAUUAGUCUUGAAUUUUGUUGAGGUAGGCGGAAUAAGUCAUGUAGCGGUGAAAUGCAUAGAUAUGACUUAGAACACCAAUUGCGAAGGCAGCUUGCUAAACAAAUAUUGACGCUGAGGCACGAAAGCGUGGGGAUCAAACAGG
rnacentral:rRNA from 1 species